UUCAAAACAACCGAGUAAAUUUACAGCUCAUUCAAGUGCCACUGGUCUGUUUUUGGAGAAUUUCAUCUUUAAGGUGCUGUGAGAAAGAGCCAUGUCUCCCGUGCCGCCACUGAUGAUGACAUUACAAAACACGUAAUACGGUGGUUCAACUUGGCAGCAGAUAGGGGAAACUCAAGGAGCCGUCCCACUGUCAGCACCCAACAGUAGCGUUUCGGUGUUUCACAGUUAACUUCUGUGUUUUGAAGUGUUCGUUUAACAGUUAAGUAGUAACAGUUGAGAUAAAGUUUACUACUUUAAAUAGUUUUGUUUCUAUUCAUCUUCAAAAAACCCAGUUUCCACACAAAAAAAUAAGCAGUGCAACAUUAAUAAGAAUAAAUGUUUCUUGAGCUACAUUAAAAAAGUGUUCUUUUUCAUUAAAUAAAAAAUGUUCUUUGGACAAUUUAUGGUUGCAUUUCAUUUUCUGUAAUACCUAUUAAUUGUAUACAUAAAUAAUUGUUACUGGCUAAAAUGGCUGAAUUUUGAUUUACAAGUUUUGAAUGAUUUCAUCAUGUUUUAUUAAUAAAGGCAGGCAUAUUAAAUAUUAUAGAGCAAUCCAGUCUAUCCAAUGUCGGUCCAUUAGAUUUGAAAUAUUUCUUUAGCUAGUUUUGGCCAGAAUACUAGUUUUAAAUGAGGGAUCUGAAAGGUAUCCAGACAGAAUGACCAGAUCGGAUCCGUGGCGGAUCAGCUGCUUUAUAAACGGGUCCUGAUCGGAUCCGUGGCGGAUCAGCUGCUUUAUAAACGGGUCCUGAUCGGAUCCGUGGCGGAUCAGCUGCUUUAUCAGUGGAUACAUGGCGGGUCUGCCCCAGAUCUGGUCCGGAUCCGCAAUCCUUAUUUGUUCCGGAUCCGCUGCGCUGUGCAAGUGGACUCCGUUCCGGACCCGUUUUGCGCAUCAGGUUCAAAAACUGAAUUUGUCCCAAACAAAAAAAUGGACUUUCUUGAUCUACAUACAGUAUGUGCAUUUUAAAACGUUUGGAGUGCAAAUUACAUAAUUGCUAAAACCAUCUCUGUCUUUUCAUGUUUAUCAGUAAUGAAAAUAAACACAUGGUUAAUUUACAUUUUUAUACAAAUACUACCAGAUUGAAAUACAACCAGUCUUUCAUAAAGGAUCAUAAUGCAUUUGGGU